GGAUGUGAGGGCAAUCUGGCUAUGACAUCUGUCACCCCACUGAUCGCCGGGGUGGAUUGGGCUGGUCUAGUUGGCUAGAUGAGUGUCCCCCUCCUCCCUCACUGCUCCUGAAGCGGUGCUUUCCUAGAGGAGGACCCCUCUUUGGAAUGGUACACAAACUGCUGUGCUCCCCUGCUAGAAUCUCCAAACAAGCUCUCAAAGAUCAAGCUCUCGACGGCCUUGACUCCUGUCAUGCCUGUGUGUCCCAGGAGAGCAUACAGAUACAUAUGCAAAUGGGGAAAUAAAAAAGUCCAUGCUUU
rnacentral:snRNA from 1 species